rnacentral:rRNA from 1 species
GAGUUUGAUCCUGACUCAGGGUGGUAGGAACAUUGAGGCUGGGGCCGCCUGAGGCUUUGGCAUGAGGCUGGGGGGCUGAGGAGAGAUGUGAAACAGUUACACCGGGGGUGAAGGUGUCAGAGAGGCCUCUCAGUUUCAGCUUGAGUCGGCAGGCAGGCCAUGGUGGUGGCUGGUGGGGAAGUCACCACUGCCCCAGGCCAGAGAGGAUUGCCUCUGAGCCAGGGAUGUCCAGGGCUGCCUCUGAGAGAGGUACAGGUGGGAGUGGACACGGGCAGGUCAACCACUGUCCCUGCCCCAUGACCCCGACACAGGUCAGAUGACCCAGAUGUGGGGGCCAGGGCAGGAGCAGUUGAGGGGCCAGGCAUCAGCUGAGUCGAAAAGUUGGGGACCCCACGGCC